rnacentral:lncRNA from 1 species
CGUGAGAAGCUCUAAAGUGGUUUUCACCUAAGAUUUAUAGUGUGACAAUAAUUGCUGUGAUCUGAAGAAUCUUCGUGUUCUGAAUAGAAGAACCAGUCUAUGGUGUAUUGUUCUGUGUUAAGGAUGUGCUUUCGCCAGGAGAGUUUUUCAGUAAUAGUGAGACCGAAAAAUUGUGAGAACUGUAGUUGAGUGCUGUUCAUGAAUAAGUGGGUGUGAUGCGCUGACGUUUUCUUAAUAUGAGUAACGUUUGAACCUUCAACCUUUUGAAAAGUACGAGAUUUGUAUAUCAUCAUUUGAGGUGCUUUUGAGGUCUCUUCGUAGAAUCAUAGAGUUACUAUAUGUUUUGAAAGUGAUAUCUAGGUUGCAAGUAAGUAAUGCAUGGAUGGACAAUGUUACGGAGGAAUGAAGGACAGUGUCAUUUAGGAAGAAUGGUCUUGUUCGAUGUGACGGCAAGUCAUUGAUAUUUAGCAAGAAAAGAAUGGGAAGGGGACAAAAUCGAACCCCAGUGCAUGCCAUAUUUAAAAGAAUGUACAACAAAGUGCUCUGUCAAUAUGUGGCAAUAAUGUAAUUUGACAGGAAGCUACCGAUAUAAAAAAUAGCAAACAUAGGCAGACGUGGUGGACCUGGAUAAGGGAAAGGGCUAGAAAGAGAUUUGCUAAGUAAGUACUUGUGGUCUUGGCUGAAAAACGCUGGUAUGUAGUGGAGGAGAGAAGGUAAUAUAAAGUUGCCGGGAAUUCUUUUGGUAAAGGACCAAAAUAAUCGACUGUAGUUUAGAAGGCGAGGUAACUUGAGAAGUGUAGGAAACACAGUUACCAUUCUUGGUCCGGAUAAUGGCCUUGCAUAUGUGGCAUUUCUGGGUAAUUGCUACCCUGUUUUUAAGGCUGGCUCCACAUUGUAAGCCCUGCUUUUCUUCUGAAUAGUUGCAACACAAGUUUGAGAGAACCUCUUGGAAGAAUUGGAGUAUUUGAUUUUUGUUGUAUGCAACAAAUAAACGGACAAGUAUCACACAAGAGCCUAGCUGCUUGAUAGGUCAAGAGUGAAGCACAUAUGCUGCCAUGAGUAAACUACAUAAAACUGGUGGAGUUUGAUUCAGAUCAUAAAAUCAGUCGGCUAGCUUGAAAUAACACGGAGCGUAGGAUGUAGAAGGUUCUGUGAAGUAUAUGAAUGAAAUUUGUUGGGAGAGUCUUCAGGUAACAUCAUAGUGCGGAGGGAGUUUAUAGUUUUAAAUACCUUAGUUUAGGAUGUGAGAAAGAGAUCUGAGUCGAUCUAAGAUGUGUAUAGCACACGAGACAAGUUGGGGAAACGAAAUGAGGAUUGUAAAAGACUUGAGUUUCUGUACUGCUGCUAUCAGUGCGACGUAAAUUAAAGAAUCAUGUGAAGUUGUGAAUGUAGAAAUCAAUAACUUCUGAGAGGGGUGGGAUGAGAAAUAUGAUUUCAAUACAGGGAGAGAUAAUGUCAAUGAAAUUCAAAUACUUCGAGGGCUCAGAAGAGCGAUAAGGGUACAGAUGUAUUUGGGAGAGAGUGAAAGAGACUUUGAUCCUCCAGAUUAGCUGGAACUGUUUUAUUGCUGAUAUCUAGGUGAGAAAGGGGAAUGGCAGGGAGUGCGGAGUCAAUGAACUUAUCAAAUGUAGGCUGGAGAGAGAGUUUAAGAGGUACGGGUCUCAAAAUGGAAAAGGAUGUAAUCUGCAUAUGAGAAGGAUAUAAUGAGUAAAAUUUAGAUCGAAUAAAAUUAACAAAUAUUGAAAUGGGAAUAGAAAAUUGUCUAGACAGUUUACUUCUAGGUCUUUUGGUAGAGGAAGAAUAAAAUGCAGUGCAUUAAAAGCUCGUGGUAACCAUCAGCUGGAGGUUUGGAGCGAAUGGCUUGCAAAAGAGCAAACUCCACUUAAUGACAGCUACAAAA